UUGAGAAAAAAAAAUCCUUUUCAAUUCUGAUGGAUAAGAUUGGACUGCAACCAGCUGCUAUGAUCUUUUCUAUUGCACUUGAAACAUAUGAAGAAAGAAUUGUCAUUAUAAUUAUAUCAUGCAAAGCAAAAACUACAUUUAAGGGUUUGUAUUCACCUUUGUCACUGCUGGGUAAGGGAAUAGUUACUUGUAGAGAAAAUCAUAUGGCCAACCGAAUUUCUCAUGGAUUGUCUCUAUCAAUGCUCAAUGCAAAAUUCUCAGACCUAACUGAUGCAAUGGGUAAGCAAAUCUCAUGUGACCCAGCCACAUAAGCUACCUACACUCAGUGCCCCAGGAAGAAAAAUAGUGGUGUUUGUUUGCAUCAAAGUAGCAUCUUGUGUCCUAGCUUGAAUUUCCAUUCUUACCCAGGCAUGUAGCAGACAAAGGAAGCUACUAGUUUGAUGUCUGAAGUCACCAUUGCCACUACUCUAAGCACGGAAAUAGAUGCAAAUAUCAAAGCUGUAAUUGGUUUGUAAAUAUAGGUGAAAGCAAAUCAAAUCCAGAAGCAGCACAUGUACAGUCUCAUGGAUUGUGGAAAUCUACUAGCAUUAGCUUUUCACCAGCCAAGUUUCCAUUUAACCAGCAUGAUCUUUCCUUUUUAUUUAUUUUUUUAAUGUCUACGAUGCAUCCCUACUUAGUACAUCACCUUAGGGAAAGUACCACAUGGAUUGCAAUGCAUGCAUGCAAUAAAUUGAAUGCCUAUUGCAUAUUGUCAUGGAUUUAUAAUAGACACAGUUGUGUUUCAGGUUUAAACAUAGUAAUAUUGUACGAUAAUCACAAGACAAGGUAAAAGAAAUCCAUCAUGAGAAAAGGUCAAGAGAUAGUACCAGUACCAAAAUAAUUUAUAAACAAGACUAAAUGUAUACACCAGGAUAAGUUCUCUAGUCUAUCAAGCUCUAAAGAGAGAAAAUAAAAAUGCCUCUUGUAGUGGACAUACAUAAAGGACUAUUAAAGGGGGAAAUAUGUAUGACAAUACAGAGGACAAAUAAGCAAGAGAAUAUAAGUAGGAACAUCUGGACGACAAUAAAGUGAUGACUAUAUGCAUGAUAACAAUGCAUAAUGUAACAAAACAUGCACUGUAAUCAGAACUGCAUAAAUAAUGCGUGCAGGUGAAAGAGAUAAUUACCAAAGCAUACUUGUAGCUCUUGCAUGAUAGCUUCCUGCUUGGCUUGAGCACUUGGGUGAAGGUAGUUGUAGGUGAAGUCAUGAUCUAUGUUAGAAAUAUAAACCCUACCAUACCCUGGUGGAGGACUCCUAAGACUUGGUGUUUAUUCUUGGUGGAUUUCCUCUCCUUGAGUCUUCAAGACCUUACAGGUAAUUUUUCUUUGCUUUGGUGAAGUCCUCUACCUUGAAACCUUUAGAAUCACCUAAGGGGAGUUUGCCUAUUACAAGCACAAAGCAGAGCAGAUUGUGAAUCUAUAUUCUCAAAAAUGGCACGAGGAUGCCUAGUAUUUGGUUCUAACCCCUAAAAUCAUCAUUUGCAAGAUUGCUAGUAUCACCGUCCAUGGGUGUUGAUGUUAGCAAUACAGCAAAAAGUGGACAUCACUAUCUAUGGAAGAUGAUGUCAGCCAAAUAAACAAUUGAGUUAAAAAGGAACCUAAAAGGGGCUGCAAUGGCUUUCAUGUAUCAUAAGGCCAUUCUAAGAUGUAUACACUAGAUAUAUAUUAACUUGACUUGAAUUAUUUUUGGAUCGAAAUUACUCUUUACUAAUAUGCAUGACUACUUUCUGAGGUCAAUUUUCCCAUUGUGAUUCUCUUCUCAUGCAGUUUGCUAGUUCAUCUUGCAGGAUUCUCCUGCAUGCACAGGGAAUCCAAAAUAAUUCUAGAAACAGAAGAAUUGUAGCUCUUAUCUCAUGCAUUGACUUUUCCAAACUAUACCACCUUUCAAUGAGAUUUCAGCACCUUUGAUGACAAGAUCAAAAUCAGGGUCAGCAGUCAGACUAUAUCAGAAACAUCUAUAGUGUCGAAAAAAAUAUUUACCAGAUUUCAUCAACAUUUGCUUGGUCAAAGUUGGGAUGCUCAACUAAUGAAAAGCCAACACCAUGAUCAAUGAAAUGGUUCAUAAACAAUUGUUGAAUUUUAGCAGCCAUUCUUUCAUCACUCGUCCAAUCAUGUGAGCCAUCAUCAUCAAAUGUCUUUCCUUUCUUUAUGGCGUUUCAAGGACAUUACAUCUUUCUACC